GGCUGGCCUGACGCGCUCGCUGCUGAGGUGCCGGCCGGGCUGGCGCUUCCGGAGUGGCUCGAGAGCGCGUGGUCAGUCACUGGCGGGAGCGAGGCCCGUGGAGCUCCCGCGUGGGGCGCGGGGAGCCGGCCGCGGCCACUUCACGGCUGGCGCGGGCCUGGGGCUUCGUACCCCCGCCUGCGGCGCCCUCCGUGGUGGGGCGGCCCGGGGCGUUGGGUCGGGGGGUGAGCUUGCGGGGCGGCGCGGCCGUUGUCGGCCCCCGCCCUCGGCAGGAAGGCCGUCUGGGAUCAGGCCCGCGUCAAGAUUCGUUUAUUUUAAAGAGUGACGCCCAGAGAGGUCUUCGUCCGCCGGGUCACUCCGCAGGUGGCCGCAGCGGCCGGAGCUGAGCCGAUCCGGGGCCAGGAGCUUCUUCGGGGUCUCCCCGGGGUGGGGGGGUGGGCAGGGGUCCGAGGACUCGGGCCGUGGCAGAGCACUGGAUCGGCAGAGGAGUGCCCAUGUGGGAUGCCGGCGGGUUAACCCACGGCACUACGCCCCCCCCCCUUUUUUUUUGCUAACAGAAUUCACAGGGCAGACCCUUCAGGAUGUUGUAGAACCCAUCGCAGCCAUCCCCCUGUGGUGGCUGAGCGGGGCGGAGCCCAGGGCUCGUCCCAGCCCGGCGUCGCCUUGCGCGCGCUGCGUGAACGACGCUGAGUGCCCGCUGUUGGAAGCUGCACGGGGCGCCGCAGAGCCACGGCUGUGCCCUCGCCUCGCGGUCCUCCACCUGGUCCUCCACCUCAGUGCCUGUCAGCAGCCCUCGUCGCACCUCCGCCCCACGCCCGGCCUCCCUCCUGCUUCUCUACGUCCUCAUCCUCGCCCCGUCUGGUAGCCAUCCCGCUUUCUUCCUGUAUUUCAGCCACUAGGAUCCCUAGAACUGCCCUUAGUGGGCAGUAGGCACUCACCUGUCCACCACACGGGUCAACCCUUCUCUUCAUUGAGACAAACGUCGCAUUCCAAGUUCCUUUCUAACGAGUGACUUGUGGAUCUUUGUUUGAUUCUGUGUGAGGCUCAAUCAUCCCAGCUGUUUUUAGUGCUUGCUUACAAAUUGGAUGAUGAUUUUCAACUUAAAUAGAUGUAAUCACUAGUCAGCUUGCUUUAUGGUCUCUAGGUUGUUACCCAUGUAAGAGACAGCUAACAGUAAGGGUGUUUUUUUUUUAAGGUUUAUUUAUUUGAAAGGCAGAGCUACACACAGAGAGAGAGAGGUCUUCCAUCUGCUGGUUCACUCCCCAAAUGGCUGCAACGGCUGGAGUUGAGCCGAUCUGAAGCCAGGAGCUUCUUCCAGGUCUCCCACGCAGGUGCAAGGGCCCAGGCACUUGGGCCGUCCUCUACUGCUCUUCCAGGCCAUGGCAGAGAGCUGGAUCGGAAGUGGCACAGCCAGGACUCUAACCGGCACCCAUUUGGAUGCCAGCACUACAGGCGGUGGCUUUACACCACAGCGAUGGCCUUGUACAGUAAGAUUUUUAUUUUCAGCAUUGAAAUGUGGCUUGGUUAAAAUCACAACUUUUAUUAGAGUAAUACAAUAUUUAUCUUGUAAGAGUAAGCAAAAAAACCACAUUUAGUUAUUUGCUCCUAGUAGCAUGAAGUAAUUGAUGCCUUUUCUAAUGCAAAUGAAAGAUCUGUGCAUAUAAUAGCGCUGUAGCUGGUGUGGAUGGAUUUCCCUGCCUGCUGAAUGUCAGCUGGCGGCGACUGGGGGAGGAGGCCGUUUGCAGGCCAGCAGCUACCUCCAUGGAACAAGUUCUUUGUUCCUCGUCUCAUGAAACAGGUCCUCCAAGGGUAUUAGCCAGUUUUUUCCCCUGAAAUUGCUUUUCAAGAGUCUCCUUUAUUUUGCUCGACUCUUGAGAGCCAGAGGAUUUUUCUGGUUGCUAAGCUGAGUGGUUUUCAUACUUCCAUUCAGAUAAAUGGCGAGGCGUGUGGCUUUACCCACUUUGCCCAGUUCCACCUGCCUGCAUGGGGAUGUGAUCUUGCUAGAAUUCCAUGACAGGAGCCGCCAGUUUCAAGUUCAAGUCCUGUGUGUCUCAGAUAAUCCAGGUGAGCUCAGCGUGACCUAGUAAAGAAUGCAGCGUAAGAUCCGUGAAUUCUGGCAGCCGAGUUCUGGCCUUUGUUUUGGGAAGGCUCGAACCUGGGUUGGGGUCAGUCUUUACUGGGAUUUGUCAGGAAACCGCCUCGGCAGGGAGGCCACAGGACCACGCUCUGCCUCUGAUGGUGAGGGGUUCAGACAGGCUGGCGCGGGGCUUCAGAGCCCGUGCCCGGGUUUCAUUCUUGGCCGAGCCGCCUACCAGCCAGGCAGCCGUGGACAAGAUGGGAAAUCUUGGGCGCUCAGGCUCCUCGUCUGUGAAGGGAGGUGACAACCACACCCGUGGUUGUGGGGAUGAAAUGGGGACACGCAAAGCACGCAGGGAGGACUCAGUGCACGCACUGUUAAUUACGCCCUGGCCCUGGGACUGUUCCCUCCUAAGCACUUCAGAAGGUUUUCAUUAUUUUUUUUAAAAGAUUUUACUUAUUUAUUUGAGAGGUAGAGUUAUAGACAGUGAGAGAAAGAGACAGAGAGGUCUUCCUUAUGCUUCCUUAUGAACCAUCACUCCCCAGAUGGCCGCAACGGCCAGAGCUGUGCCGAUCCAAAGCCAGGAGCCAGGAGCUUCUUCCCAGUCUCCCACGUGGGUGCAGGGGCCCAAGCACUUCCACUGCUAUCCCAGGCCACAGCAGAGAGCUGGAUGGGAAGAGGAGCAGCUCUGACUUGAACCAGCGCCCAUAUGGGAUGCCGGCGCCGCAGGCAGAGGAUUAACCUACUGCGCCACAGCGCCGGCCCCUCAUUAUAUUUUAAUGCUAAUGCUUGUGUACAUCUUGUUUUAAAGAAUUUUGUUUAUUUGGUAUAAAGUUUUAUCUGUGAAAUGCCAACUCUGUUAUAUCCACUUGUCAGCUAAAAUAGAAUAUUUCAAAAGCAAUAGUCACACAUGAAAUUUAUUGAAAAUGGAAGGCAAGGCAACUGAUCGGAACCAACACUCCUUGUCAGAGUGUGUCCCCCAACAGCGAGUUACACAGUUUUUUAUAGUAUUCUGUCCACUAGGGCUCACAAUUUCACAAACCCUUGGUAUGCAGUGAACAAUGAAAAAAACCAGAAUAUGGUUGUAAGAUGACAGUUAAUGACAAGCCCAGGAACAAUAGCAGAUCCGAGAUAUCCUGUAAGAUGCCAGCGCAGGGCGCGUUUCUGUCAACUUAGCUCCUGGGACUUUGACCCCCAUGUAGUUUCACAAGAUCCGCCCUUAGCUGGUAGCGAGCAAAGUGAGUAUGUACAGAAGCCAGAGUCUGCAGUUGGCUUUUUUUUUUUUUUUUUGACAGGCAGAGUUAGAGACAGAAAGGUCUUCCUUCCAUUGGUUCACUCCCCAAAUGGCCGCCACGGCCGGUGCUGCGCCGAUCCAAAGGCAGGAGCCAGGUGCUUCCUCCUGGUCUCCCAUGCGAGUGCAGGGCCCAAGCACUUGGGCCAUCCUCCACUGCACUCCCGGGCCACAGCAGGGAACUGGAUGCAGUUGCCUUUUAGCCACACUCCAUUUUGAUUUUGACUGCAAGUCUUUUUCCCUUUUUUUACUAAUAAAAAACUGACCUGCAUCACUACCGUCACGACACUGAGUUCCUGUAAUUCUGGCCGAAAGCACAGAGCUGUGAUGUUUGAGCCAGAGCUUUACUGCGAGUUAGAUUUAUGAUUUCCAGUAGGCUUUUAGAAGUGCUGCCCAGGGACCCGUGCCCCUGCCCCGAUUCUAGACUGGGUCCUUUUCAAUCUGCUUGCGUCGGCACCUUAACAAAGAAUGAUUCUGUUGAGAGUUUGGGCAGAGCUUCGCUUGUUUUUCUCCUGGAGAUUCCGAUCUAUUGUGCCGUCAGAAACUCCCACAGCUGGUGUUUUUCAUGUUUUAGGCUUCAGAGCAAAAGGAUGAAAACUUAAGUCUAAAUUUUCUAGCACUACUAUUUGUUUUCUCUGGAGGUUUUAGGUUCCAUUGGCACUGAAGUAGUAACAGUAUGUGUAGAAAAUCUGUUAAACAUACUGGAGUUACACAAUAUAGCAUUUUUCUGGGAACAAGAGCUGCGGAAAUAACAAAACCAUUAAGACAUCGUCGGAGCCGAUGAUGGCAAAGGCAGAAUCGUGCUGAGUUCAAGGAGGAAGCGAUCUCUGCAGGCAGAGGAAGGAAGGAGAGUCAGGUUCUGGAGCCAACGUGACCUCUGAUGGAAGGGGCAUAGUGUGGAGGGAGGUGGAGCCUACGUGACCUCUGAUGGAAGGGGCGUAGUGUGGAGGGAGGUGGAGCGGAUGUGACCUCUGAUGGAAGGGGUGUAGUGUGGAGGGAGGUGGAGCCUACGUGACCUCUGAUGGAAGGGGCAUAGUGUGGAGGGAGGUGGAGCCUACGUGACCUCUGAUGGAAGGGGUGUAGUGUGGAGGGAGGUGGAGCCUACGUGACCUCUGAUGGAAGGGGCGUAGUGUGAAGGGAGGUGGAGCCUACAUGACCUCUGAUGGAAGGGGCGUAGUGUGGAGGGAGGUGGAGCCUACGUGACCUCUGAUGGAAGGGGCGUAGUGUGGAGGGAGGUGGAGCCUACGUGACCUCUGAUGGAAGGGGCAUAGUGUGGAGGGAGGUGGAGCCUACGUGACCUCUGAUGGAAGGGGUGUAGUGUGGAGGGAGGUGGAGCCUACGUGACCUCUGAUGGAAGGGGCGUAGUGUGGAGGGAGGUGGAGCCUAUGUGACCUCUGAUGGAAGGGGCGUAGUGUGGAGGGAGGUGGAGCCUACAUGACCUCUGAUGGAAGGGGCAUAGUGUGGAGGGAGGUGGAGCCUACAUGACCUCUGAUGGAAGGGGUGUAGUGUGGAGGGAGGUGGAGCCUAUGUGACCUCUGAUGGAAGGGGCAUAGUGUGGAGGGAGGUGGAGCCUACAUGACCUCUGAUGGAAGGGGCGUGGUGCAGAGGUGUGAGGGAGGUGGAGCUGAUGGAAGGGGUGUUGAUGGAAGGAAGCAUUUUGGGAAGUGAACCAGUGGAUGAAAGAUCUCUCUCUCUGCCUUUCAAAUAAAUAAAAUUAUAAAAAAGAUCCGACUUGUUCUCCUUCCAUUCCCUUUAAAAAAUAUUUAUUUAUUUGAGAGGCCGAGUUAAAGAGAGGAGGAGAAGCAGAGGUCUUCCAUCGGUGUUUACUCCCCAAAUGGCCGCAACAGCCGGAGCUGGGCUGAUCAGGAGCCAGGAGCUUCUUCCAGGUCUCCUGUGUGGGUGCAGGGGCUCAAGCAUGUGGACCAUCCUCCACUGCUUUCCCAGGCCAUUAGAGAGCUGGAUCGGAAGAGGAGCAGCCAGGACACAAACUGGCACCCACAAGGCAUGCUGGCACUGCAGGUGGAGUCUUACCCUGCUUUGCCGCAGCGCCAGCCGCCUUUCCGUUCUAUGUCAGAAGCAUCUGGGACAGAACCUUCCCUCGGGCCUCGCUGCCUGCAGCUACCAGUGACUGCUGUUUCCCAGGGCCACGUGAUGGGUGCUUUUCUGGAUUCUUGGGUAUGAUGAGUGGCCUUCCUUUAAGGCCUUUGAUGAGAGGGGUAAUGUAACCAGGACACCCUGUGUCCUCAGCUCAGCUUUCUCCAUGUUGCCCUGUGUGCUGCCUCACCCCGGACUCCUCAUUUGCUUGCCGUCUUUCCUGUUGUCCAGCCCUUCCUUCACCUGUGCCUAGCAGACUAUCAGAACUUUCCAGCUGCUAUGUAGCACACCCAUGGCCUGGCAGCUGCCUGGAGGGGCCGAGUCAGCAAGAGAUUCCGAGAUGUGUGCGUGUGUGUGUGCGUGCAUGUGUGUGUGCGUGCAUGUGUGUGUGCGUGCAUGUGUGUGUGCACGUGCGUGUGUGUGUGCGUGUGUGUGUGCGUGCGUAUGUGUGCGUGCUUGUCUGCGUGUAUGUGUGUGUGUGCGUGCAUGCGUGUGUGCGCGUGCGUGUGUGUGUGUUCUUUAAGAUUGAUUUAUUUUAAAGGCAGAGUUAGAAAGAUCUUGAAUCUGCCGAUUUACUCCCCAGAUGGCUGCGAUGACCAGGGCUGGGCCAGACUGAACCCAAGAGCCAGGAGUUUCCUUCAGGUUCCCCCACAAGGGUGUCAGGGGCCCAAGCGUUUGUACCGUCCCCCGUUGCCUUCCCAGGAAGCUGGAUCAGGAGUGGAGCAGCUGGGACCCAAACCAGUGCUAGGAUGGGAUGCCAGCCAUUGUGGUGGUUUCACCCAAUUCACCACAGUGCCAGCCCUGUACACUGUGUAGAACAAGGCCUGUACCCACAGACUUUGUCACGCAUCCAGAAAGAGAAAGAAAAGAAAGAACUGUGUAAGUUUCCUGUAUAAGGAAAUAGUAGACAAAAUACCACAGAGGGGGCCGGUGCUCUGGCAUAGGGGGUAAAGCCCUAGCCUGCAUUGUUGGCAUCCCAUAUGGGCGCUGGUUCAAGUCCCAGCUGCUCCACUUCUGAUCCAGCUCUCUGCUGUGGCCUGGGAAAGCAGCAGAGGACGCCCAAGUCCUUGGGCCCCUGCACCCACAUGGGAGACCUGGAAGAAGCUCCUGGCUCUUGGCUUCAGAUCGGCUCAGCUCUGGCCAUUGUGACCAUCUGGGGAGUGAACCAGCGGAUGGAAGACUGACUCCCUCCCUCCCUCCCUCCCUCCCUCUCUGUCUCCCUCUCUCUCUCUCUCUCUCUCUCUCUCUCCCUCCAGCUCUGCCUUUCAAAUAAAUACAUCUUAAAAAAAAAUACCACAGAGCCGUGCUCAUUUAGGUGCCAAAUAAAAUUCCAGCAGGUGGCUGAGAGACAGGCUGGGCCAUCUCGGGCUGGGGCUUGUUAGUCUGUUUAGGUGGCCAGAGACCCACAGGCUGGGCAGCCUGACCACAGGGGUUUGGUGCCUCACAGCUCUGGAGGCUGCAACUCCGAGAUCACGGUGCCAGCUGGCCGCUCUCUCCUGAGACUCCCUCCUCAGUUUCUCCAUGGCUGGUGCCCUGCAUCUUCACACGCUCGUCUCUACCGUGUCUGUGUCCUGAUCUCUUCUUAGGAGACCGCCAGUCAUACUGGAUUCCAGCUCCUCACUGUGACUUAGUCACCCCAAGGCUCCGUCUCCAAGUGCAGUUUUCCCAGGUACUGGAGAUUUCAGCAUGGGCACUUUGGGAGAACACAGCUCCGCCUGUAACAGGUGAUGUGCGGGGCGUCUGAAGUGCUCUGUCUCUGUGGGUUCAAAGAAUGUGGUGUUUUUUUUUGUUUGUUUAGUUUUUUUUUUUUUUUUUUUUUUUUUUUUUUGACAGGCAGAGUGGACAGUGAGAGAGAGAGACAGAGAGAAAGGUCUUCCUUUUGCCGUUGGUUCACCCUCCAAUGGCCGCCGCAGCCAGUGCGCUGCAGCCAGCGUACUGUGCUGAUCCGAAGGCAGGAGCCAGGUGCUUCCUCCUGGUCUCCCAUGGGGUGUAGGGCCCAAGUACUUGGGCCAUCUUCCACUGCACUCCCUGGCCACAGCAGAGGGCUGGCCUGGAAGAGGGGCAACCGGGACAGAAUCCGGCGCCCCGACCGGGACUAGAACCCGGUGUGCCAGCUCCGUAAGAUUGAGGAUUAGCCUAUUGAGUCGCGGCGCCGGACAGAAUGUAUGUUUUGUACUUUGACAUUUCUGAAAUUAUUUCUGACCUUUGAUGUAUAGUUUUAAAAAGCAUAGUUCCCUGAUUGUUCCGCUAAUGGCCGACAGGGAGGACAGGACCAGCUUUCGCUAGGAAAGAAGUGUGGUGUUAGAUGAGCUGGCCUGUGUGCCCACUGGAGCACAGGGCGAGGGCUUUUCUUCUCUAGACACCUGUCCAGGGGCUGGCGCUGUGGCACAGCAGGGUAAGCCUCCACCUGCGGCACCGGCAUCUCGUAUGAGUGCUGGUUUGAGUCCCGGCUACUCCACUUCUGAUCCAGCUCUCUGCUAUGGCCUGGGAAAGCCGUAGAAGAUGGUCCAAGUGCUUCGGCCCCUACACACAUGUGGGAGACCCGGAAGAAGCUCCUGGCUCCGGAUUGGCCCAGUUCCGGCUGUUGGGGUAUGAAUAGCGGGUGGAAGACCUCUCUCUGUUUCACCUCUGUGUCUUUAACUCUGCCUCUCAAAUAACUAAAAUCAAUUUUUUAAAAAUUUGCUUGUCUGGAAUGAAUCUGUCUUCGGUUUGCUUCCCUGUCCCCAACCAUCACAUUCCCCUUCUUCUUCAUCCCAGUCGUCUGCCUUCCUCUGCCCAGAGCCCCAGCGAGUUGGUUCCGUCCAGUGAAGUUACAGAGCACAGGAGCCUGGACCUGGCUCUCUGAGCACGCAGGACACGUUUUCCCCCUCUUGUGGGGGCAUGGCCUGAACCGGGUCCCCUGCCCCCAAGUCCCCAAGUGGCUGCAUUUGCAAUAAGGAAGGAACUGAAGUAGAUGGGGCCAGGAGUGUGGGCUCUGGUCCAGCAGGGUUAGGUCCAGUGUCUUUACAGGAAGGGACUCCACAGAGAACUCCCCCCUAUACCCUUGCGGGGACAGUGAGAAGGUGGCCAUCUGUAAGCCAGGAAGCCCCUACUAGGAAGUGACUUUCCAGUCUCCAUAACUGAGAAAAUAGUGUUCUGCUGUUUAAGCCACUCCAUCGGACCUGCUGUCACAGCAGUCCAUGCUGACUCCUACUCGGGUGUGAAUUCCUCGGAGAGCGGUCAGUGCUCUCAGUUGUCUGGGCUGACUUCAGUGUAAGCUCCUCCCUGGACCAAAAACAAUCCACUAGGUUUGGGCUUGGGCCAGUCAAGCUGUGCCCCUGGCACUGGGACAGUAUCACUAGUAAGGACAGAUAGGUAAGCAGUCAUGGGGGCCAGCAUUGUGGUGCAGUGGGUUAUGCCACCGCCUGAAGCACCAGCAUCCCAUAUGGGCACCUGUCCAGUCCCAGCUGCCCACUUCUUAUCUGGCUCCCUGUUAAUGCACCAGAUGUGGUAAGGUUUCUUGCGAUGAGGUGGUCCUGGGUUUUCUGGAUGAAUCCUAAGUGAAAGGACAGGUGUCCUUACCAGAGGGAGGAGGAGAAGACAGAAUGGAAUUAUGGAGCCACCAGAUGCUGAAACGGCAUAAACGUGUUCUCCCCGAGAGCUUCGGGGACCGGAGCCCUAAGGGAUUUUGGACUUCCAGCCCCCAGAACUGUAAGAGAAAAUGUUUCUCUUAUGUUAAGCCUUAAGUUUUUGGUUAUUUAUUAGAGCAGCCUUAGAAAACUAAUCUAUGGCCGGCGCCAUGGCUCACUAGGCUAAUCCUCCGCCUAGCGGCGCCGGCACACCGGGUUCUAGUCCCGGUUGGGGCGCCGGAUUCUGUCCCGGUUGCCCCUCUUCCAGGCCAGCUCUCUGCUGUGGCCAGGGAGUGCAGUGGAGGAUGGCCCAGGUGCUUGGGCCCUGCACCCCAUGGGAGACCAGGAAAAGCACCUGGCUCCUGGCUCCUGCCAUCAGAUCAUCGCGGUGCGCCGGCCGCAGUGCACCGGCCGCGGCGGCCAUUGGAGGGUGAACCAACGGCAAAGGAAGACCUUUCUCUCUGUCUCUCUGUCUCUCUCUCUCACUGUCCACUCUGCCUGUCAAAAAAAAAAAAAAAAAAAAAAAGAAAACUAAUCUAGCCAGUGGAUUAAAGUCUACUUAAUCAGAGAAAGCGGUGUUUCAGGCUGCCAGGUGGCCCAAAGAGCAGACCUUGGUUUCUUGCAGUUCUGGACACUAUAGGCCCUAGAGGCUGGCAAGGCUGGAUCCUAGCGAGAGCUCUCUUCCUGACUUGUGGAUGGCUGUCUUCUAUCCUUGUCCUCUGAUGGCCUUCCCUUACUGCAUAGAGAGAGCACUUCUGGUGUCUCUUAAAAGGACACUAAUCCUAUUAGAGGUCUUACAUACUCUUUUAAUUUUACUUCCUUAUAAAUUCUAUCUCCAAAUAAGGUCACAUUGGGGAUUAGGGUUUCAACAUGAGUUUGGGGGUAGGGGUAUGUGCCACAGUUCAGUCCUUAACGCGUGAUCAAUCAAGACUUAAAUUGAUUUAAAACAAAAUUUAGUGUCAACAGAUUGUUAGUGAACACCAGGCAAGCAAUUCUAUUUGAAUAAAAAUAGUAUUUAAAUUAAAUGUGGAAAUGGAAUAUUGAAAACCAUGAACAUAAGUAGAAUAAGGUAAUCUGGUAUUACAUGAAUAUAUCUACAUAAUUACAUAUAUAAAAUACACAUGAGCUGUCUUAGGCAAUGAUGCUAUUGUGAUUACUCAAAUUGGAACCUUUGCCCAAAGAACGUGUUACAGUUCAGAUAUGUAUAAUAGCAAUGAGUCACUCAAGCUAUGACUCAGCCUAAUUAUGUCUAAUUAUUUUUAGCUUUGGUCUCAGAUUUUUUUUUUUUUUUGCCAGCAGAACUCACAUUUGGCAUAGAGAGCUGAAUGCAAGAUGUAUUUUUAUUAUUUAUAAUUGGAUAAACUUGAUGUGAAAAGUAUUUCGGAGCAUGUUAGGAGACAAGAAUAAAGGGCUGAGUUCCUGAGAAGAGUUCUGCAUUAUACAGACUAGCGAAGUCCCUGUUCGCACUUCACUUUGGAGUUUCUCUGGGAUCAUAAGCCAUCCCUGUAAGGGGUGUAGUAGAGAGGUGAACAGUUAAGGAUCUGAAGUGAUCCAAGCAUGAUACUUAAAGCUGUGAUCUGAGAAUUUAGAGAACUUGAAAGAAGUGAGGUACACCAUGUUGGAGUUGAUGGAGACAAAAGUCCUGAUAAUGAUUUUUCAAAGAAUGCAGCCUGGGUGAGACACAGUCGACACUGGAGACAUGGUCCGUGAAUAUCACACAAGAGAACCAAAGAGGUCCUUGGGAAUUGGUGCAUUACUUGUCGCCUUCAACUUUAUCAUGUGGCAUGUUACGUGAAUAACUUGGAAGAAUGCAUAUAAUCAUUGUAUGUGAACCCUGAUGUUGUGCCUCAGAAACAACAUGGAUUCUCACUGAAAAGCUUUUACAUUCUCUAAGCUCCAAGUAGGUUAUCAGUGGUGGAAACACUUCUGGAAUGGAAUGGCGGAACAGAGACCUCCAAAAAUCAGCUCUUCCAUAAAAGCAACAAGAGCAAAAUACAAGAAGCAAAAAGUGGCAGAAUUGAAGGGGGAAAUGGGCAACCCAACAGUAAUGGAGAUUGUCCCACGUUCAGUGGAUGGAACACCUAGUCAGAGGGUCAACAAAGAAAUACCACUCUAAGCCGGCCCUAGCGGACCUCUGUAGAACACUCCCGCCAAGAACAGCGGGACGCACUUUCUUUUCCAUGUGCGUGGGGCGCUCUCCAGGACAGACCACUUCAGGCCACAUGACAAGCCCUGUAAGUUAAUAGGAUUGAAAUCACACAGAGUGUAUUCUCCAACCACAGCAGAAUAAGAUGAAAAAUUAAUGAAGUUUGGGAAACUCACAUAUAGGGAAGCUGAAUAACAUUAUAAAGAAUGGCCAGAGGAAACCACAAGGGGAAUUAAGGUAUUUUGAGAUGAAUGAAACAAGACAUAUGCAAUAAAACAUGGGGAGCAGGAGCUGCAGUGCUUCGAGGGAGAUUUGUAUCCAGAAGAAGAAACAUCGCUGUAACCAAGUCAAAUCGGAACCAGUGUUCCACCCUUAAAAAAAAAAAAAAGCACGCUAAGCCCAAA